ACCACUGUUCUCAACACCACCAU
rnacentral:piRNA from 1 species